rnacentral:lncRNA from 1 species
GAUGUUGUAUCCAGACCUCACCCAACCACACUUCUGUUCAUUCUCUUGCAAAAACUCUAUAUAUUCAACAGCCUGCAAUAGAAAAUGGUGUCAAGAAAACCAGCUUAAUUAAAUGGGUUGCAGCAUAUAAUCAAUAACCUUCUAGGUUUGUGCCUUGUUUGUUUUAUGAUACCCGGAACCAAGUUAUUUAUGUGCAUCUCUAGUUAGAACCCAACCGAAAUUAAUACAAUAUCUGAGGUGAAAAAAAAACAUAAAAAUUAAUAGACAAAAAAUAAUUAGCAGGAUUAAGCACCACAUCGCGAGUGUUGCAUGUUGGAAAGGGUAAUCGUUAAGACUUCAAGGUCGGCCCAUCAUGAAUGAAAG